UACAGAGGUCUCAAGCGUUGUUCGGAAUUACUGGGCGUAAAGGGUGCGCAGGCCGCGCGGGCAGUCAAGUGUGUAAUUCAGGGGCUCAACCCCUGCACUGCGCUUGAUACUUCCGCGCUCGAGCUUUGGAGAGGAGUCUGGAAUUCUCGGUGUAGCAGUGAAAUGCGUGGAUAUCGAGAAGAACACUUAGGGCGUAGGCAAGACUCUGGACAAAUGCUGACGCUCAUGCACGAAGGCUAGGGUAGUGAACGGG
rnacentral:rRNA from 1 species